rnacentral:rRNA from 1 species
AUACGGAGGGUGCGAGCGUUACUCGGAGUCACUGGGCGUAAAGCGUCCGUAGGCGGUCGGGUAAGUCGGGUGUGAAAGCCCCGGGCUCAACCUGGGAAGUGCACCCGAUACUGCUCGACUCGAGUGCGGGAGAGGAUGGCGGAAUUCCCGGUGUAGCGGUGAAAUGCGUAGGGAUCGGGAGGAACACCAGUGGCGAAGGCGGCCAUCUGGCCCGCAACUGACGCUGAGGGACGAAAGCGUGGGGAGCAAACAGGAUUAGAAACCCCAGUAGUCC